rnacentral:rRNA from 1 species
AAACAUUGCUCCUUGAUUCAGCGGCGGACGGGUGAGUAAUGCCUAGGAAUCUGCCUGGUAGUGGGGGACAACGUUUCGAAAGGAACGCUAAUACCGCAUACGUCCUACGGGAGAAAGCAGGGGACCUUCGGGCCUUGCGCUAUCAGAUGAGCCUAGGUCGGAUUAGCUAGUAGGUGAGGUAAUGGCUCACCUAGGCGACGAUCCGUAACUGGUCUGAGAGGAUGAUCAGUCACACUGGAACUGAGACACGGUCCAGACUCCUACGGGAGGCAGCAGUGGGGAAUAUUGGACAAUGGGCGAAAGCCUGAUCCAGCCAUGCCGCGUGUGUGAAGAAGGUCUUCGGAUUGUAAAGCACUUUAAGUUGGGAGGAAGGGCAGUAAGUUAAUACCUUGCUGUUUUGACGUUACCGACAGAAUAAGCACCGGCUAACUCUGUGCCAGCAGCCGCGGUAAUACAGAGGGUGCAAGCGUUAAUCGGAAUUACUGGGCGUAAAGCGCGCGUAGGUGGUUCGUUAAGUUGGAUGUGAAAGCCCCGGGCUCAACCUGGGAACUGCAUCCAAAACUGGCGAGCUAGAGUAUGGUAGAGGGUGGUGGAAUUUCCUGUGUAGCGGUGAAAUGCGUAGAUAUAGGAAGGAAACACCAGUGGCGAAGGCGACCACCUGGACUGAUACUGA